rnacentral:rRNA from 1 species
AUUGAACGCUGGCGGCGUGCUUAACACAUGCAAGUCGAACGAAGUGGCGAACGGGUGAGUAACGCGAAAUCAACCUGCCCUUCAGAGGGGGACAACAGUUGGAAACGACUGCUAAUACCGCAUACUGUAGGAGGGGAUUGCGUCUGAUUAGCUCGUCGGAGGGGUAACGGCCCACCAAGGCGAGGAUCGGUAGACGGGCGAAGAGGAUGAACGGCCACAUUGGGACUAGUACACGGCCCAGACUCCUACGGUAGGCAGCAGUGGGGAAUCUUCCGCAAUUGACGAAAGUCUGACGAAGCAACGCCGCGUGAGUGAUGACGGCCUUCGGGUUGUAAAGCUCUGUUAAUCGGGACGCGGUACCGGAAUAGAAAGCCACGGCUAACUACGUGCCAGCAGCCGCGGUAAUUC